GUCAUUAUCCAUAGAACAAAUCAUUCUAGUAAUCAUUUAUGGAAAACAAGGACAGGAGCCACAAUCUUUAAACUGCUCAAAUAUGGAAAAUAUUCUGAGGUUGUAAGCUCAAAAUGUACCAAACUAAACCAUGUAAUCUGACAAUGAACUAUUGCAGGAUCACAUUGUGGUCACCAAAAGACAUUUUUCGUUUCUACUUUUAAUACAAGUCAGUUGAAACAAAAAUCUAAAGAGCUAUGAUUUAAAAAAUUUCACAUUGCACAACAGUGAAUAUUAUGACUUGAAUCAGAGGAAUUGUCACCUGUGAAGCUGGUCUGUGAUUGC
rnacentral:misc_RNA from 1 species